CAAUGAAUGACAUGGUCACAUUAGCAAAGUAUCUUAUUAGAAUUUCAUACGAAUAUUGCAUUUAUUUUCUCUCUCUUUCUUUCAUUCGCUCCUACAUUACCUUCCCUUCUGAUGCCCCGGUGCUUUGCACAGGGCAGCACAUUCCGUUCUACCUUGCUGCUGUUUUUCCUGUAACUAUUGUGCAUGUUGUCAUUGGGAAACUCCUCGGGAACGCAUCCAAAUGCUCAUCUGGCAUCAAUCAAGCAGUUGUUUUCAAAGGGAAAACCUCGGACGACUGCCAUCCAGAGCAGGAGAGCAGACACACCUAUGGUGAUAACUUCUUCAGCCCAAGACAAGUCAAUCGUGAUCCUUACCAUCUUCGAGAGAGGAGAGUUCAGGAAAAAGUACCGGAGAAGGGGACAACUGUAGGGCAGAAGAGAGC